rnacentral:rRNA from 1 species
CAGAGAGUGUGUGCCAGCCGCCGCGGUAAUACGGAGGAUCCGAGCGUUAUCCGGAUUUAUUGGGUUUAAAGGGAGCGUAGGUGGAUUGUUAAGUCAGUUGUGAAAGUUUGCGGCUCAACCGUAAAAUUGCAGUUGAAACUGGCAGUCUUGAGUACAGUAGAGGUGGGCGGAAUUCGUGGUGUAGCGGUGAAAUGCUUAGAUAUCACGAAGAACUCCGAUUGCGAAGGCAGCUCACUAGACUGUCACUGACACUGAUGCUCGAAAGUGUGGGUAUCAAACAGG